UCUGCCUCCUGACUGCCCCAGGCCUUCCCCAUGUGGUUCUCCAUGGAGUGGUGUGUCUCCUGUCUCUAGGACCUGUGAGUAAAUAAACUUUGUUUCCCUGAACCUCUCUUGCGUCUCCUCUUAUGGCCACACCUGACUGACCAUCACAUAAAAGAAUAAAAGCAUACAUGAACGAUGAGGGAAUGCCACAGAGAAUUCUUUAUGCUGCAGUGAUGGGAUGACCAGUUCCAGAGCUCUGCCCUCAUCAUGAGACCAUGCCCAGGCUAGUCUGCUGGAAGGAAGUCAGAGGCACACGGA
rnacentral:lncRNA from 10 species